UUCUCCUUAGCUUGGUUGGAAGAGCGCAAGACUGUAAUGCUGACCCAUUUGCCCCCGGUUCGAUCUCGGAAGGGGGCA